rnacentral:rRNA from 1 species
GACGAACGCUGGCGGCGUGCUUAACACAUGCAAGUCGAACGGAAAGGCCCUGCUUUUGUGGGGUGCUCGAGUGGCGAACGGGUGAGUAACACGUGAGUAACCUGCCCUUGACUUUGGGAUAACUUCAGGAAACUGGGGCUAAUACCGGAUAGGAGUUCCUGCUGCAUGGUGGGGGUUGGAAAGUUUCGGCGGUUGGGGAUGGACUCGCGGCUUAUCAGCUUGUUGGUGGGGUAGUGGCUUACCAAGGCUUUGACGGGUAGCCGGCCUGAGAGGGUGACCGGCCACAUGGGGACUGGGAUACGGCCCAGACUCCUACGGGAGGCAGCAGUGGGGAAUAUUGCACAAGGGGCGGAAGCCUGAGGCAGCAACGCCGCGUGCGGGAUGACGGCCUUCGGGUGGUAAACCGCUUUCGCCUGUGACGAAGCGUGAGUGACGGUAAUGGGGAAAGAAGCACCGGCGAACUACGU